CAGCAGCCGCGGGAAUACGUAGGUGGCGAGCGUUGUCCGGAAUCAUUGGGCGUAAAGGGAGCGCAGGCGGGCAUGUAAGUCUUUCUUAAAAGUUCGGGGCUCAACCCCGUGAUGGGAAAGAAACUACAUGUCUUGAGUACAGGAGAGGAAAGCGGAAUUCCCAGUGUAGCGGUGAAAUGCGUAGAUAUUGGGAGGAACACCAGUGGCGAAGGCGGCUUUCUGGACUGCAACUGACGCUGAGGCUCGAAAGCCAGGGGAGCGAACGGGAUUGGAUACCCGUGUAGUCCCUGUCUCUUAUACC
rnacentral:rRNA from 1 species